rnacentral:rRNA from 1 species
GUGAACGCUGGCGGUAGGCCUAACACAUGCAAGUCGCACGGCAGCACAGUAAGAGCUUGCUCUUACGGGUGGCGAGUGGCGGACGGGUGAGGAAUACAUCGGAAUCUACUUUUUCGUGGGGGAUAACGUAGGGAAACUUACGCUAAUACCGCAUACCACCUACGGGUGAAAGCAGGGGAUCUUCGGACCUUGCGCGAUUGAAUGAGCCGAUGUCGGAUUAGCUAGUUGGCGGGGUAAAGGCCCACCAAGGCGACGAUCCGUAGCUGGUCUGAGAGGAUGAUCAGCCACACUGGAACUGAGACACGGUCCAGACUCCUACGGGAGGCAGCAGUGGGGAAUAUUGGACAAUGGGCGCAAGCCUGAUCCAGCCAUACCGCGUGGGUGAAGAAGGCCUUCGGGUUGUAAAGCCCUUUUGUUGGGAAAGAAAAGCAGCAGGUUAAUACCCCGCUGUUCUGACGGUACCCAAAGAAUAAGCACCGGCUAACUUCGUG